rnacentral:rRNA from 1 species
GAGCUUGCUCUCUGAUGGCGAGUGGCGAACGGGUGAGUAAUAUAUCGGAACGUGCCCAGUAAUGGGGAAUAACUAGCCGAAAGGUUAGCUAAUACCGCAUACGACCUACGGGUGAAAGCAGGGGAUCUUAGGACCUUGCGUUAUUGGAGCGGCCGAUAUCUGAUUAGCUUGUUGGUGGGGUAAAAGCCUACCAAGGCAACGAUCAGUAGCUGGUCUGAGAGGACGAUCAGCCACACUGGAACUGAGACACGGUCCAGACUCCUACGGGAGGCAGCAGUGGGGAAUUUUGGACAAUGGGGGAAACCCUGAUCCAGCCAUCCCGCGUGAGUGAAGAAGGCCUUCGGGUUGUAAAGCUCUUUCGAAAGUGAAGAAAACUUAUUUCGUAAUAUGUUAUAAGUAUGACGGUAACUUUAGAAGAAGCACCGGCUAACUACGUGCCAGCAGCCGCGGUAAUACGUAGGGUGCGAGCGUUAAUCGGAAUUACUGGGCGUAAAGCGUGCGCAGGCGGUUUUGUAAGUCAGAUGUGAAAUCCCCGAGCUUAACUUGGGAACUGCGUUUGAAACUACAAGACUAGAGUGUGUCAGAGGGGGGUAGAAUUCCACGUGUAGCAGUGAAAUGCGUAGAGAUGUGGAGGAAUACCAAUGGCGAAGGCAGCCCCCUGGGAUAACACUGACGCUCAUGCACGAAAGCGUGGGGAGCGAACAGGAUUAGAUACCCUGGUAGUCCACGCCCUAAACGAUGUCAACUAGUUGUUGGUGGAGUAAGAUCCAUGAGUAACGUAGCUAACGCGUGAAGUUGACCGCCUGGGGAGUACGGUCGCAAGAUUAAAACUCAA